rnacentral:rRNA from 1 species
GACGAACGCUGGCGGCGUGCUUAACACAUGCAAGUCGAACGGAAAGGCCCUGCUUUUGUGGGGUGCUCGAGUGGCGAACGGGUGAGUAACACGUGAGUAACCUGCCCUUGACUUUGGGAUAACUUCAGGAAACUGGGGCUAAUACCGGAUAGGAGCUCCUGCUGCAUGGUGGGGGUUGGAAAGUUUCGGCGGUUGGGGAUGGACUCGCGGCUUAUCAGCUUGUUGGUGGGGUAGUGGCUUACCAAGGCUUUGACGGGUAGCCGGCCUGAGAGGGUGACCGGCCACAUUGGGACUGAGAUACGGCCCAGACUCCUACGGGAGGCAGCAGUGGGGAAUAUUGCACAAUGGGCGGAAGCCUGAUGCAGCAACGCCGCGUGCGGGAUGACGGCCUUCGGGUUGUAAACCGCUUUCGCCUGUGACGAAGCGUGAGUGACGGUAAUGGGUAAAGAAGCACCGGCUAACUACGUGCCAGCAGCCGCGGUGAUACGUAGGGUGCGAGCGUUGUCCGGAUUUAUUGGGCGUAAAGGGCUCGUAGGUGGUUGAUCGCGUCGGAAGUGUAAUCUUGGGGCUUAACCCUGAGCGUGCUUUCGAUACGGGUUGACUUGAGGAAGGUAGGGGAGAAUGGAAUUCCUGGUGGAGCGGUGGAAUGCGCAGAUAUCAGGAGGAACGCCAGUGGCGAAGGCGGUUCUCUGGGCCUUUCCUGACGCUGAGGAGCGAAAGCGUGGGGAGCGAACAGGCUUAGAUACCCUGGUAGUCCACGCUGUAAACGGUGGGUACUAGGCGUGGGGUCCAUUCCACGGGUUCCGUGCCGUAGCUAACGCUUUAAGUACCCCGCCUGGGGAGUACGGCCGCAAGGCUAAAACUCAAAGGAAUUGACGGGGCCCCGCACAAGCGGCGGAGCAUGCGGAUUAAUUCGAUGCAACGCGUAGAACCUUACCUGGGUUUGACAUGGAUCGGGAGUGCUCAGAGAUGGGUGUGCCUCUUUUGGGGUCGGUUCACAGGUGGUGCAUGGCUGUCGUCAGCUCGUGUCGUGAGAUGUUGGGUUAAGUCCCGCAACGAGCGCAACCCUUGUUCACUGUUGCCAGCACGUUAUGGUGGGGACUCAGUGGAGACCGCCGGGGUCAACUCGGAGGAAGGUGGGGAUGACGUCAAGUCAUCAUGCCCCUUAUGUCCAGGGCUUCACGCAUGCUACAAUGGCUGGUACAGAGAGUGGCGAGCCUGUGAGGGUGAGCGAAUCUCGGAAAGCCGGUCUCAGUUCGGAUUGGGGUCUGCAACUCGACCUCAUGAAGUCGGAGUCGCUAGUAAUCGCAGAUCAGCAACGCUGCGGUGAAAACGUUCCCGGG